CUUGGUCAUUUAGAGGAAGUAAAAGUCGUAACAAGGUUUCCGUACGUUUUGAUGCAAUCUCUCCAUAAAUAUUCAGAAUUGAUAGCUAACAAAUUAAUCACAGGUAGGUGAACCUGCGGAAGGAUCAUUACCGAGCGUGACCCCCCCGUAAAAAAGGGGGGUGCCUCCCGUCCUUUGCAGGCCCUUUAGGGGCUUUCAGACUUUGCUUCGGCGGGGCUGCCCCGCCGGAACACCCUCAAGAAAAUCUCAAAAAAACCGUUCUGUCCGAGGUUACUAUAAUAACAAAAACUUUCAACAACGGAUCUCUUGGUUCUGGCAUCGAUGAAGAACGCAGCGAAAUGCGAUAAGUAAUGUGAAUUGCAGAAUUCAGUGAAUCAUCGAAUCUUUGAACGCACAUUGCGCCCCUUGGCAUUCCGGGGGGCACACCUGUUCGAGCGCCAUUUCGACCCUCAAGCACAGCUUGGUGUUGGGCUCGGUCCUGGGGGACCCGCCCGCAACUCGUAGGCGGCCGCCGCCCGCGCCCCCAGCGUAGCAAGCUCACGCGUUCGCUCGGGGACGGUGCGUCUGGCCCGCCAGGCAAAACCCAAACCCUUCCAAGGUUUGGCCUCGGAUCAGGUGGGGAUACCCGCUGAACUUAAGCAUAUCAAUAAGCGGAGGA
rnacentral:rRNA from 1 species